ACCUGGCUAGCUCAGUCAGUAGAGCAUGUGACUCUUGAUCCUGGGGUUGUGAGUUUGAGCCCCAUGUUGGGUG
rnacentral:tRNA from 1 species